AGGGUUUGAUUCUGGCUCAGGAUGAACGCUAGCGGCACGCUUCAUACAUGCAAGUCGAGGGGCAGCAUAAAUUACUUGUAAUUUGAUGGCGACCGGCGAACGGGUGCGUAACGCGUAUGCAACUUACCUUUUACUAGAGAAUAGCCAAGAGAAAUUUUGAUUAAUGCUCUAUACUCUUAUUAACUCACAUGAGUUUUUAAGAAAAGCUCCGGCGGUAAAAGAUGGGCAUGCGUCCUAUUAGCUUGUAGGUGAGGUAACGGCUCACCUAAGCUCCGAUAGGUAGGGGUCCUGAGAGGGAGAUCCCCCACACUGGUACUGAGACACGGACCAGACUUCUACGGAAGGCAGCAGUAAGGAAUAUUGGACAAUGGAGGAAACUCUGAUCCAGCGAUGCCGCGUGAAGGAAGACGGCCCUAUGGGUUGUAAACUUCUUUUAUACAGGAAUAAACCUAUCCACGUGUGGAUAGCUGAAGGUACUGUAAGAAUAAGGAUCGGCUAACUCCGUGCCAGCAGCCGCGGUAAUACA
rnacentral:rRNA from 1 species